AUACUCUGGUUUCUCUUCAGAUCGUAUAAAAUCUUUCGCCUUUUACUAAAGAUUUCCGUGGAGAGAAACAGUUCUGAGUUUUAGUCUAAUUUUUUGGGGCCCUGUUUUUGCGGGGCU
rnacentral:snRNA from 13 species